GGUCGGUUAGCAAAGUCGGUUAGAGCGUAGCGCUAAUAACGCCAAGGACGCAGGUCCGAUCCCAGUACUGGCCA